AGCAGUGGGGAAUCUUGGACAAUGGGGGCAACCCUGAUCCAGCCAUGCCGCGUGAGUGAUGAAGGCCCUAGGGUCGUAAAGCUCUUUCGCCUGUGAAGAUAAUGACUGUAGCAGGUAAAGAAACCCCGGCUAACUCCGUGCCAGCAGCCGCGGUAAUACGGAGGGGGUUAGCGUUGUUCGGAAUUACUGGGCGUAAAGCGCGCGUAGGCGGACUGGAAAGUUGGGGGUGAAAUUCCAGGGCUCAACCCUGGAACUGCCUCCAAAACUAUCAGUCUAGAGUUCGAGAGAGGUGAGUGGAAUUCCGAGUGUAGAGGUGAAAUUCGUAGAUAUUCGGAGGAACACCAGUGGCGAAAGCGAC
rnacentral:rRNA from 1 species